GGAUGCAAAUUGGAACCUGCCAAAAGGAAACAGGGCAAACUCUGGAAAGGGCCCGGACACAAAGCUCUGUCUUCUCCUGUAGUCACCUCCUCCCAGUCUGCAGGGAGGCAAAGCCGCACUGUCCUGCCCACCGGGAGGCCCACCCAGGCUUCCCAGCCCAGUACCCCGCCAUGAGAGCCCAUUACAAAGCCCCAUUAUAAAUCACACUGCUCAGCCACCUGCUGGCCAGGCUCCUCAGGCCAAAGGAAGCUCCAAGACACCACCUCCCAGCAGCUAAGGACCCAGGCCAGACUCCUCUAGUUGGCUUCAGGUCACACGUGGGGCUCUGGAGAUCCCAGAAACAUCACUAGACCAACGACCGGUUACGACCUGAAAAGAAGAGGACAAAAGUCAUCCAACACGAGGUGUGUGGAAGCCUUGGCCAACAGCAGGCCCAGGAUGAGGCUUGGUGAUGAGAGCGUUUGCCCAGCAUGUGGGGUCCUAGGCUUGACCCAAAACAGACCAUCAGAGCAACCAUCAAGGGUGACCUCGCAUUGUACCUACAAACACCAACCAAGACGCACCAAGACCCCUCCUCCCGCCGGCUUCACUGCUGGGCAGUGACCAAAAUACACACCCA